UUCGCUCUCUCUCGCGCGUUCUUCUCUCCGAUGAGUCCACUGGUUGACUUGCUGAAGCAGAACGUCCUCUGCAUUAUGGAAGAUGAUAUGUUAGAAAUGCUUCUUUAGUAUCUACUUAUUGGUAUAGUGCUGUCCCUUAAGUCUUUCCCUGGUUAUUAGUUAAGUAGUUAACAGUAGCUACUUUGGAGCAUGGGGACUUGCAGAACCAUGCACGUGGGCAACUCUGAACGUUUUGAAACCAUGCCGUGCUGUCUGUACCUGGCUUAUGUGGACUGAACUGAAGCCGUACUCGCCAAUGACUGCGCACAUGGCAGCAGACGCUGCCCGGGUGACUUGAUUGCAAGGAGACUUAACCUCGAAAGGUGUGGAACUGAAUCAAGGAUGUGGCUGGAGUGGCGACAUCAUCUUUUGAAGGUGUGCAACAGAACCAAGGAUGUGGCUGGUGUGGAGGCAUCUGAAAAGAUUUGGGAGACUACUCCCUCCUGUCCUGUGGCUGAGCCAUACACACGGCAAGAGACUCCACCCAAAGUACUUAAUGGUGGAGACAUCACCUCAAAAGGUGUGAAGCUGCCCCAAUGAGUUGAUGGCAUGGAGACUCCAUCUGCCAAGGUGUGGAACAAUCAAUGAUGUGGCUGGAGUGGAGACAUCAUCUUUUGAAGGUGUGGAACUGAACCAACGCUGUGAAAGGUAGGCUGCCUUUGCAUAACAUCCCUGCUGUCUCAGAACUGGACAUGUCGACUGGGGUGUUCCUCGUCUGAUGCCCCUGAUUUUCAGCCACAACCUACCCUUCAGGUGCAGUCACCCGAUCACAAUUUAGAAGAGCCUUUCAUAUCUAUUGUCUUGAGUUUUGGUCAGUGGUGAUAUUUAGUUCUGAACUUUGAAGUUCAGAACUUAAGUUGUGUUUAUGGGCCCUCUAUUUGAGUGGGACACUUCACCUACUUAAGAUGUAAAGCAGUAACUAUAUGCCUUCAGUGUGUUCACACCCCAGGACUCUAUUCCAUGUUUUUUUUUCAGCUUGAAAUAAAGUGCGGUUGUUACCGGCCUACACACAGUA